AAGAUGCUGUGAAUAUUGUUGACAUGACAAGAAAGGAUUGAGGAUAUUACAUAAACAUAAAGGGCUUAAGGGGCAGCAGGGCUUUAGAAGAUUGACAUCAAUUUUUAAUGAAGUUCUACUGUGGUAAAAAUGCUAUAAAAUAGUAUGGCAUGAUACAAGGAAAUUGUUUGUGAAGGAAAGAGUAAAUCAAUGAGGCAAACUAUAUUGUUUUCUUAUUUUAAGAAAUUGUCGCAGUCACUCCAGCCUUCAGCAACCACCAACCUGAUCAGUCAGUAGUCAUCAACGUUGAGGCAAGACCCUCCACCAGCAAAAAUAUUACAAUUCACUAAAUCUCCAAUAAUGCCUGAGGGAAAGCCUGGAUCUGAUAAUUGUAUGUACUCCUGAAUAAUGCAGAGGCAAAUUUCCUGACCUCUUGGGUGUUUCUUGCAGCAAAGAAUGAACACAAGGAGAAGCUAAGGUGGAACUGAAUCCUUUCUCUUGAGUGUAAGCUGGAUUCAGUGAUUCAUGGAACACAACCUGCCACGAAUAACCCUGUCAAGUGGCCUGUGUGGGGAGAUACUGAAGCCUCUUUCCAACAAAAUCUGGAAGCAAACUCUUCAGUUCUCAUCACAUCUUCAGACUCUACAACCCUGGCCAACAGCCUAACUGCAACCUCACAAAAAACCCUCUCCUCUCUGAGACAGAACCCACUCCCAGAUUCUUGAUCCUCAGAAACUGUGUGAGAUCACAAAUAUUGAUUGUUCUAAGCAAAAAAAACUUAAUAGAAAGUUUUUUAGGGGUAAUAGAAAACUAAUUCAUCAUCUAAGGGGAUGCCUGAGUAAGAGCCACCCAGGGAACAAGAGUAGCAAGUACAAAGAUCUCAUGGAGGGAGCCUGACUGUUUUGAGUAGAACUAACAGGAGAGUAAACUGAGGGAAAGUACAAGCAGAUGGUGACUAAAAGGUAACAUCAGAUUAGAGCACGCCAGUCUUAAGAGCCAUUGUGAAUUAACUAUAAAAGGAUGUAAUCUGGAAAGAUUGAAGGUAGUAGCCAGAGAAUGGAUGAUUGAAACUGAAAUUAUGGAGGGGUACAGUUAGUCAAGGAUAUGAGAGAAGACUGGAAACAAAAUUAUUAAUGAAGAGGUAAAAAGUUUGAAGAAAAAAAUCAAGUUUUAGGGUCUUCUUAUGAAGAUUUCAGUUUGUUUCUCUCCUGCAUAUGUAUACUAUCAGGCAAAAUGCUCAAUGGAUCAUCUCAAUUUGAACAUCAUCAUUAAUAGCAAAACAACCCAAAAGGUAUUAUUUUAUUGCAAA